rnacentral:rRNA from 1 species
CUCAUUAAAUCAGUUAUAGUUUAUUUGAUGGUCUCUUUUGUCUUUUUUUACCUACUUGGAUAACCGUGGUAAUUCUAGAGCUAAUACAUGCGCAAGGUCCCGAGCGCGGGGGGCGGGGCUUCGCGGCCUCGUCCUCGCAUGCGCAGAGGGAUGUAUUUAUUAGGUUAAAAACCAGCACGCUGGCGACAGCGUCCAAUUCACUGGUGAUUCAUAGUAACUCUUUCGGAUCGCACUCAUG